GCGCCGUUAGCUCAGCUGGAUAGAGCGUUUGGCUACGGACCAAAAGGUCGGGGAUUCGAAUUCUCCACGGCGCACCA
rnacentral:tRNA from 1 species